AAUGUUUCAAAACAACAAUGUUUAAUAUUUAAGUCUCAGCCUCAGAGCCUCAGCUGUUCUGACUUGAGUAUACAAGUUUAUUACAACACAAAUCUGAUAUCAGAGAAGGUCUUGGUACAGCUAGUAACCAUGGACACAGAUUUACCAAAAACUUAAAGUAACAUCACAUUCACUCAGCUUUAUACAGUGUAUCCUCAGGUAAAGAGAGUCAGCUGAUGACAGGAAUCAUAAAGUGUUUCUAAUUAAACAUUUUAAAUGUUGAUAAUCAAAUAGAUGAAAUCAGA